GGGGGCCCGCAAGCGGUGGAGCAUGCGGUUUAAUUCGAUGCAACGCGAAGAACCUUACCUACUCUUGACAUCCAGAGAACUUAGCAGAGAUGCUUUGGUGCCUUCGGGAACUCUGAGACAGGUGCUGCAUGGCUGUCGUCAGCUCGUGUUGUGAAAUGUUGGGUUAAGUCCCGCAACGAGCGCAACCCUUAUCCUUUGUUGCCAUCGGUUCGGCCGGGAACUCAAAGGAGACUGCCAGUGAUAAACUGGAGGAAGGUGGGAAUGACGUCAAGUCAUCAUGGCCCUUACGAGUAGGGCUACACACGUGCUACAAUGGCGUAUACAAAGAGAAGCGACCUCGCGAGAGCAAGCGGACCUCAUAAAGUACGUCGUAGUCCGGAUUGGAGUCUGCAACUCGACUCCAUGAAGUCGGAAUCGCUAGUAAUCGUAGAUCAGAAUGCUACGGUGAAUACGUUCCCGGGCCUUGUACACACC
rnacentral:rRNA from 1 species